UCAGAAAAAGGCAAACCAGUCGCGAGGCUGGGACGCAAAGCCAUGGAACUCCCCGGAGUUUGCCAGGCUGCCUGGG
rnacentral:ncRNA from 1 species